ensembl:snRNA U2 U2 spliceosomal RNA
AUCGCUUCUCGGCCUUUUGGCUAAGAUCAAGUGUAGUAUCUGUUCUUAUCAGUUUAAUAUCUGAUACGUACCACAUUGUGGGACCUUAUAUUAAAUAGAUUUUUGGGACAGGGAGAUGGAAUAGGGGCUUGCUCCGUCCACUCCGCGCAUCAACCCGGUAUUGCAGUUUCUCCGGGAAUGGUGCACCUCCC